UCGAGAAUUUUUCUCAAUGGGCGAAAGCCUGAAGGAGCGACGCCGCGUGGGGGAUGAAUGGCUUCGGCCCGUAAACCCCUGUCAUUUGCGAUCAAACCUUACGACCUAACACGUCGUGAGUUGAUAGUAGCGGAAGAGGAAGGGACGGCUAACUCUGUGCCAGCAGCCGCGGUAAUACAGAGGUCCCAAGCGUUGUUCGGAUUCACUGGGCGUAAAGGGUGCGUAGGCGGUCGGGUAAGUCUGACGUGAA
rnacentral:rRNA from 1 species